rnacentral:rRNA from 1 species
UGCGUAGGCGGGUCUUUAAGUCAGGGGUGAAAUCCUGGAGCUCAACUUCAGAACUGCCUUUGAUACUGAAGAUCUUGAGUUCGGGAGAGGUGAGUGGAACUGCGAGUGUAGAGGUGAAAUUCGUAGAUAUUCGCAAGAACACCAGUGGCGAAGGCGGCUCACUGGCCCGAUACUGACGCUGAGGCACGAAAGCGUGGGGAGCAAACA